rnacentral:rRNA from 1 species
UAAUGUACCUAAAACCGCAAUAGGUGGGCUAGUAUAGUUCUACUAAGGUUAAGGACGAACCAUAUUUAAGGAACUCGGCAAAAUACUUUCGUGACUUAGGAGUAAGAAUGCCACAUGAAGUGGAGCAUAGAAGCAUUAGCGGCAACUGUUUACCAAAAACACAAGACUCUGCUUUAAGUUUAUUUAACGCUGUAUAGAGUCUGAUACCUGCCCAAAGGCGAAAGCAAACGGCAGCAGUAACUCUGACUGUUCUAAGGUAGCAAAACCCCUUGACGUUUAAUUGGCGUCGUGCAUGAAUGGUAUAAUGAUCGCUAAGCUGUCUCAAAUAUGGAACCUGUGAAAUUGAAUGCUUUGUGCAGAUGCGGAGAAGUAUUUGUGGGUCGCCGAGACCCUAUGCAUCUUAAUAGAUUGGUCUUUAGUUACAUAAAUGUAAUGAAUGGUUUAGUAUAGUACGCUUAUGUAUCAUAACCAUACUAUAUAUAUAUAUAUAAUUAAAAUAUAGGGCUGGGGGCAUCCCCCCCCCCAUCCAUAGCGUAUUCUAUAGCUUAGCUAUAAAAUACCGCUAUGUGGGACGCCCGCACGGGGGCUGCUAGGCAGCCUCCGCUAAUGCUGUUGCAUGGCUAGAAGGAUACCUUUAUUAUAUUUUUAUAUAAUAUUAACAAA